AUGAAAAGAAGAAGAAAAGAGUGUUUUUCUUAUUUUUCUGCUUAUUUUUGUUGUUUUUCUUUUUGUUUUUCUCUUCAAAGUUGUUUGGUUUGUUUAUAAAUAAACAACAGAAAUGUUUUUUUUAGAGUUGUCAUUGUUGUUAUCAUGGAUGGGAUAAGAAAAACA
rnacentral:ribozyme from 14 species